AGUGUAAUUGCUGGAUCAUAUGAUAAGAGGAGGUUUAAUUUUGUAAGAAACUGACAAACUGUUUUCCAAAGUGGCUGUACUAUUUUGCAUUCCCAUCAACAAU
rnacentral:pre_miRNA from 1 species